CUUCAAGUUUCGAGAUUUGGAGUUGGAGCAUGGUGUAAGAUUAUGAAUUUAUGACUCUUGUUGGAGUCUGUUGGAGUCUUGCCGGGUUGGAGCUGACUUGUAAGCAUGGUGUAAUAAAUUCUGAUUGCUACUUUUCUUUAAGCACGAUUUUGCUGGUAAGUGGUAACACGGCAAACAAACUUUAUAGAUAUAAGAUUCGGUUUCGGGCUGCCGCACACUAGAAAUCUCACUUGAAGAGUUUCUUUUUGGUCGCGCCUAUCGAGGGGCAAUAGACUUUUUGGCUAAUUACCCCUCAACUUUUGAGGGGCAAUAGACUUUUUUUGCUAUUGCCCCUCCUAAAAAUGCCAGAUGGCAUUGGUUACGGGGAAGGGUAGGCCUUCUGACUGUUUUUUCUUUUUUUUUAUUGUGUGAUACUACAGACUACGAAGUAAAGACCGCUAUCAUCGCCAUAAGGCUGAGAGAAAUCUAGUAGGCGAUGCCUAGUCUUACCGCUAGGGGCGCGGGAGUAUACUUUCUGAAAUGUUUCUACUUUUUCUAAUGUUAGUAGUACUGAAUACGUGCUUCACACACACGUAUUAGCGGGAAUUGUACUUAACUUUACGUCAUAAACUGUACACCUUAAUUUUCUAGAUCCCCUUCCUGUAUACUGUGAAUUAUUUCAAAAUUAUAUUCUAAUUCUUUGGUAUGGUAAUAAAAUUAUACAUUUACCCCCUCUUUUCCCUAUUUUUCAGAUCGUGAAACCCUGCACGGUGGGCUCUAUACAACUGAAAAAUAGGGAAAAAGAGGAGGUAGCCUUUAGAGGGAUUGAGUCAGAAUGCUAAAGGAAACCGGCCAGAAUGCUAGUGCGAAAAUACAAGCUGGAGAUCAGCAUAGGUGGAAAAUUCUUCAACUACUUGUCAAUUCGCCGCCCAGUGAUAAAAAAGUGAGAUUCUUUACAAAUAUUCUACAUAAAUCUUUACAGAAAGAAGGAUUUAAAAAAAAGCCGGUGCCCGAAACUGCUAUUGAUUUCACAGAUCUCAGUCAAUGUCAAUCCUCGUAAGAGACUGAUGUUCCAGUCAAGGUAAAGGACCCAGCUUUGCUGUUUCGUGGCAUUCUAAUAACCAAGAACCAUAAGAACGUUCGCAGCCUUGGUAACAUUUAUUACCCCUUCCUAGCUGAUUGUAAAAUGACUGGUGCCAGCGUUGAUUAAGGAUCAAACCCUCCGAGAUGCCCAAAGUGGAUCACCGUCGUUGUAGUCCACCGUGUUUCCGAAAUUCAACAUUAAAGGUCAACUGACGCCGUAAUGAACUGCAGCCUUUUGUCAUCAUGUAUGGAGCAGUAUAAAAGACUUGCAUUACCGUUCCUCUUAAUGUAGGGUUGAGUAACACUGGCUAUGAAGAGAUUCAAAACGGAUACGGGCUCUGCGAGGCUGCCAAGACGAACUAAGCGGAAGACGGGUGGUACCUAGUGCCAAGUCAUGCCGUAGCAUUCGUGUGCCAUCGUCUCACAGAGUGCAUCCCCCUCAAGGAUCGUAGAUCUCGUAUCUGAUAGCGAUCUGGGAUGCACUUUCGUAGGGAGCACCCCCCGUCUGAAUCUCGGAAAGAGUCAGUGCCUCAUCCCUCGUUUUUAAAAUUGAACUUAGUAGUAUAGUAUUAAGGAUUAGUUUACUUAGUUUUAAGGAAGUGAAACAAGACAAAUUCCAAUAGCCCUGUUUGGUGCCGAAUGUUUCAAAUCAGUCAAUAAUUACUAGCAAAAAAAAAUUAGUAAGUAAAUUAACUUAUUAGUAAUGCUGAUUGAAUUUUUUACAAGCACACGAUUUUCGUCCAAUGAACACAAUUUUUCCUAGUGCGUUCAUUACACAUAGUAACUUGAGGUGGAGAUAUUAGCAUAACUCGCAUCACGCGAAACCUGCCAGAAGUUGUCAUAGAAUUGAAGGAGUACCAGGCGCUUACCGCCAAACAUGCUCUACAUGUUUCAUAGCGCAAGGGAUUUGUUUUUUGUUUUUGUUUUUUUCUUUUUUUUUUCUUCUCUCUUCUUCUGUUUUAAAUACGCCACACGGAGAAUUUCAGAUUCUAGUGCGAAAGAUCUAAAUUCAAGUUUUAUCUUAAGCUGAAAUAAGACGCUGAAUGUCGUAUGGAUAAUGUGAUAUUGAUAUAGAGGCGAAAGGAUGAUGUACAUGUGAUGCUAUUAUAGGGAAGUGAUAAAGGAUUUUUCAUCGUUUCAAGUUUUUGAAAAGUAAACUGUUGUGUUUACUUGAGUUAAAUUUAAUUAAAUGUAACGAUAGUUAGCAAUAUGGUACGAUGUCUUUGGCAAAGGAAAUCUUUGAAAUAAAACAUACACUGGUGAAAGAGAACAUCAGAAACAAUAUAAUAAUCAUGAGUGUCAAAGAAUGACAACUGCAACACAAAUCAUCCUGCAUGAUAUCUAACAAUGAUUUUGUUAUAGUAUUUCCUAUCCAAUUUUCUGCCGGAUGUCUUUGAUCGAUAAUUUGUAGGAUAAUACAGCUAUGGCUGAAAUAAUUGUAAAAAUUUUGACUACAUGAAAAGUUGACGGAAGCUGAAGUUCACUUUUUUCGCUAGACCAAUCCCAGCGUGCACUCCUCAGUUAUUAUGUGCUUGAUCUACUCACUUAUACUGUGUUAAGGCACAACAAAUAAAAAAAAAAAAGAAACACUCAGUUUAACUUGUAAAAGAUAAUCACAAACAAUAGAAGUAUCACAACGCCAUCUAUUUUUACUGUAAAAAAAUUUAAGCUCUUUAUAAGACCGACUUUUUAUUUAUUUUCGGAAGUAACCGGAAGUAGCCAAUAUCUCAAAAAAUUUCAAUCCCAUAAAAAAACGAGUAGGAUUUUCGUGAUCAUUAUCAAAUUUGGGUUGGGAAUGGCGUGUUUUAGCCAAAAGUUGGAUUUGACGAAAAUCGCGAUUUUUCAUGUUCAGGAAAAUUUGCGAUUUUUGACGAUUUUCGGGUAUUUUGUGCUGACCCAUAGAGUCGACAACAAAUUUGACGAGGAUCACGAAAUAUAAAUCUUUUUUUCUGACAGAUCAACAAAUAAAGAGUUAUUUGACAUUUUAAACCCGGAAGUAAAACCGGAAAUCGAAAUUUCAGAAACCCAAACAAUGACCCUUUUUUUUAAAUUGUUAAUAAGAUUUGUCUAGUUGCAAAGAUAGACCAAUAUAAUUAAAUGUUAACGGGGAUUGUUUACAUUUCUGAAAGUACAGGUUGGUUUACUAUCUACGUACGCUAUAAGGUUGCACAUUUAUGGCAAGCCAAAUGUUUAUCGACUGCUUUCGCAACAUAUCUUCUCAGUCCCUCGCUAUGAGUUUCUAAUGAUAACGUGACGCAUCCAAACUUUAUACCACUGAUGGCACAAUUGCACAUGACUCAUACGUGAUACAUUGAAUUUUAGUUUACGAUCCAAACACGUCACUUGUCUCGUUUAGUAAGUCUAAUCCUGUUCCCUAUGAACUAGUACGUUUAAAGCAAUUACCAUAAUUUUUUUUUCUAGGAAACCAAACGUUUCGCACACAGAGACCCCUAGGCAACCAUACAAAAAAAACUGAAAGAACAAAGAACGAACUUUUUGUUGUUGUUUAAGACGAAAAUGGUUUAAAGCGGGAUUCGCUAAAAAUCCUUACUUGCUGUCAAAUUAAAAUAACACGGCUAGUUCGUGGUCCCAUUCAAGCUAAAACAAUCAAAAGAUUGCUCGAGUUCCGAAUAGCCCAUCACCUGGAUUUACUGUCCUUUGUUUUUGUCAUACAAGGAAAAAGCAUUCUUGUUACAUAAGACAAGCGUUGGAACCGCAGAUAUAGAUCAGUUCCUCGUAAAAAUGAUAUACAGACUAUGCACAUGUUCCUAAUUCUGAUCUU
rnacentral:lncRNA from 1 species